UUAACCUAAUUUCCAAAAUAAAUUUUUUUAAAGCUUCCAUAAUGGAAGCUUUAAAAGAAUUUAUUUUGGAAAUUAGGUUA